rnacentral:lncRNA from 10 species
GCGUGAGACACCACACCUGGCCUUGGUUAAACUUUUUAAAUUUUAAAUUUUUUUUUAUUUUUCAGAUGAGGUCUCUCUGUUGCCCAGGCUGGAGUGCGGUGGUGCGAUCUCCACUCACUGCAACCUCUGCUUCCCAGGUUCAAGCGAUCCUCCCACCUCAACCUCCCGAGUAGCUUGGACCAUAGGCACAUGCUACCAAAUCUGGCCAAUUUUUUGUGUUUUUGGUAGAGACAGGGUUUUGCCAUGUUGCCCAGGCUGAUCUCAAACUCCUGGGCUCAAGUCAUCCUCCUGCCUUAGCCUCCCAAAGUGCUGGGAGGCUAAUCGUAGAGAAUGAUUACAGGCAUGAACCACUGUGCCUGGCCAAGAAAAUAUUUUUUAGGAAAACAUAAGGUUGUGCAGAAUUCCUAACAGUGAAAUUCAAUUAGUAACAUCCUAUUUUGAGGCCUUGUGGAGUUUAUCGUUAUAAGGGGGGCUGUUAAAUUGACCGACAGAAACAUAUGUGUAUCGGGCCAGGGUGGCAACUAUCAUCAGUUUAACCAUUCUAUGAAAGCCAGUUUGCCACUUGUGAGAAAAACUGAGUUAUGCUGUAUCCUGUUUCUACAUAUGUAUGGACAAUCAUGAUUGUUCAGAAUACCAAUUUUAUGAAUUUUUGAUUCACAAAAUUUCAUUAAAGCCUUAAAUUCAAGAUGUUUCUGAAACUGGUAAAACUUCAAAAUGGAACAUUAUAAAAUGAAACAGUUGUCAGUAUACUGUCUUUAAACAGUCAAACACAGCCUUGGUAUAAUUGAAAAUAAAAACUUGUAAGUUCUGCUGCGCAGCUGGUAAUCACUAUCCUUAGUACCACACAUAGUAUAUUAUACAAUCCUUAGUACCACACAUAGUAUAUUAUACAUACAAAGGUGACUUUUGUGCAUACCCAAUAGCAAAAGUGUCUGAUCCGUUCAGUGCCCUGCACUUUGAAGAUAUUUUUGUUAGAUAGGUGUGGUAUCACAUACUUCCAAUGUUGUUUCCAAUUCUGUGUAUGCUUGUUCCAAGACAGACUUUCAUGACCCUAACCCAUGGUAGCUUCCUGCUUGAUAUUUAUAUACAUCUGUACUGAAGUUUGGAAAGGUCACUUGAAUGAACAAUGCUUGACAGUGGUGUCACCAACCUUUCAAUAUGUAUGUUAAUUAUAAA